AGCAGUAGCCGCGGGAAUACGUAGGGUGCAAGCGUUAAUCGGAAUUACUGGGCGUAAAGCGUGCGCAGGCGGUUCGUUAAGACAGAUGUGAAAUCCCCGGGCUUAACCUGGGAACUGCAUUUGUGACUGGCUGGCUAGAGUAUGGCAGAGGGGGGUAGAAUUCCACGUGUAGCAGUGAAAUGCGUAGAGAUGUGGAGGAAUACCGAUGGCGAAGGCAGCCCCCUGGGCCAAUACUGACGCUCAUGCACGAAAGCGUGGGGAGCAAACAGGAUUAGAUACCCCAGUAGUCCCUGUCUCUUAUAU
rnacentral:rRNA from 1 species